GUAGUCUGCAACUCGACUACAUGAAGCUGGAAUACGCUAGUAAUCGCGGAUCAGAAUGCCGCGGUGAAUACGUUCCCGGGUCUUGUACACACCGCCCGUCACACCAUGGGAGUCGGAAAUGCCCGAAGUCUGUGACCGAACCGAAAGGAAGGAGCAGCCGAAGGCAGGUCGGAUGACUGGGGUGAAGUCGUAACAAGGUAUC
rnacentral:rRNA from 1 species